ACGUUUAGUUGCUAACGCGUGAAGGCGAGCACUCUAGACGAACUGCCGUUGACAAACGGAGGAAGUGGGGAUGACGUCAAAUCAUCAUGCCCCUUAUGUUCUGGGCUACACACGUGCUACAAUGGCCGGUACAGACGGACGCAAAGCCGCGAGGUGGAGCAAAUCCGAAAAAGCCGGUCUCAGUUCGGAUUGCAGGCUGCAAUUCGCCUGCAUGAAGUCGGAAUCGCUAGUAAUCGCAGGUCAGCAUACUGCGGUGAAUACGUUCUCGGGCCUU
rnacentral:rRNA from 1 species